AAAAAUAUCCUACCAGUCAACAGUACCAUGGCUCGCCGCCGCCUCCGCCUCCUCGCCAGCGCCGCCCUCCUCCUCGUCGCCGUCUUCUCCGCCGCGGCGCUCUGCUCGGCGGAGCCGGACGACGCCUCCGCCGCCGCGGAGGACCCGCUCAUCGAGCAGGUGGUAGGGGACGGCGCGGCGGACGACGAGCUGGAGAUGGAGCUGAACGCGGAGGCGCACUUCGCCAGCUUCGUCCGCCGGUUCGGCAAGUCCUACCGCGACGACGGCGAGCGCGCGCACCGGAUGUCCGUGUUCAAGGCCAACCUCCGCCGCGCGCGGCG
rnacentral:lncRNA from 1 species